UGGGGAAUCUUGCGCAAUGGGCGAAAGCCUGACGCAGCGACGCCGCGUGCGGGAAGAAGGCCUUCGGGUUGUAAACCGCUUUCAGGAGGGACGAAGCCACUCGGGUGAAUAGCCCAGAGGGUGACGGUACCUCCAGAAGAAGCCCCGGCUAACUACGUGCCAGCAGCCGCGGUAAUACGUAGGGGGCAAGCGUUGUCCGGAUUCAUUGGGCGUAAAGCGCGUGUAGGCGGCUGAGUAGGUCUGAUGUGAAAACUCGAGGCUCAACCUCGAGACGUCGUCAGAAACCACUCGGCUAGAGUCCGGAAGAGGAGAGUGGAAUUCCUGGUGUAGCGGUGAAAUGCGCAGAUAUCAGGAAGAACACCAAUGGCGAAGGCAGCUCUCUGGGACGGUACUGACGCUGAGACGCGAAAGCGUGGGGAGCGAACAGG
rnacentral:rRNA from 1 species